rnacentral:rRNA from 1 species
UGCGUAGGCGGCCCGGAAAGUUGGGUGUGAAAUACCUCGGCUCAACCGAGGAAUUGCGCUCAAAACUACCGGGCUUGAGGAAGAUAGAGGUGAGCGGAACUUAGGGUGGAGCGGUGAAAUGCGUUGAUAUCCUAAGGAACACCGGUAGCGAAAGCGGCUCACUGGGUCUUUCUGACGCUGAGGCACGAAAGCUAGGGGAGCGAAGAG